rnacentral:rRNA from 1 species
AACGAACGCUGGCGGCAGGCUUAACACAUGCAAGUCGAACGAGCUGGGGGCUUCUGUCUCCGAUGCUAGUAGCGCACGGGUGAGUAACACGUGGGAAGAUGCCCUUUAGUAAGGAAUAACCCAGGCAAAAAUUGACUGAUACCGGAUACGGCCUUCAGUGGAAAGAUUUAUCGAUUAAGGAUUAGCCCGAGUCUGAUUAGGUAGUUGGUGAGGUAAUGGCUCACCAAGCAGACGAUCAGUAGCUGGUCUGAGAGGAUGACCAGCCACACUGGGACUGAGAAACGGCCCAGACUCCUACGGGAGGCAGCAGUGGGGAAUAUUGGACAAUGGGGGCAACCCUGAUCCAGCCAUGCCGCGUGAGUGAAGAAGGCUUUCGGGUUGUAAAGCUCUGUCGAAUGGGACGAUGAUGACGGUACCCGUAUAGGAAGCCCCGGCAAACUUCGUG